ACUAGAACUGAAUUAGGCAAACAAAAAGUCACAGUGAAGUAAAACUAAUACAAUCCUUAUAAUCCUGAUCCCUUCCUCUUCAUAAUCACACAUUACUUUGUGUUGGUGUAUCAAAUUAAGUCCCAAAUUUGUGCUUGUAGUGUGACAAAGUCAUGAAAACUUAAGGGUAGGAAUACUACAAGACACUGUAAUCCGCGUGCGUGUGUGUAUUGAAACUACCUAGAAAAUCAGACCAAACUGAUUAAUCUGCGUGCAGAAAAUGUGGAAUUCUGAUUACUGGCUGAUAAUCUGACUGCACGAAUUUAUUAAAAACUGGUUCAAUGGGAAAAUUCAUUGGGGUUUCCUCAAGCAAGUGUCUUCUUUCCCGUGGCUAUAAGACUCCUGUUCAUUAAAUAGGGAUUAAAUGUGUUCUGGCCUCUGUAAUUAAGACAAGCAGUGAAGGAGCUUAGUGGGAUUCACUUUAAAGGUUAUUUUUUAAAAAGCCUCACCUUACACACACUCUUACAACGGGGAAUAUUUGUUUCUUUUUCCGUCGAGGUUGUAGUGAAACUAUGCCGUGUCUUUGUGAAGCAGCGAUUGGAACAAUAAAGUUUGUCUUCAGAGUGUCGUUAGGGGGGCGGAAAGUGUCACAGCCGUGGAAAACAACAAAAACAGCAAGCGUACCGAGAGGCUGCAAAUGAGAAAAAUUAAUGACUGCACUCUCCGGUGCAGAUAUUAGAACACCUCAGGCUAUUCUUAGACAGCAUAACUCUCACAGACAAACCACGUGAACAAGCUCCACUGGAGGAAAACAGCAGGGAAUAAUGCCCAAUCCAGAACAAUGACAAACCGCAUCGACUUGGCGCCUUAUCUGCCCGAUCUCCCACUAUUUCUCCCCAGUCAAGAUUUGGUUCCAUCUGUCUGCUGCACUUUUCAUUUCCUCUUCUCCUCCCGUCCACCUCCCUUUCUUCAGUAGCAGCUCGUAAAAAAAUGUUGCAAUCGCAUGCCAGCCAAAGUUUAAUUAAAUCUUUUAAUUCAUUUUUUUUAGUCUGAUGAGUAUGCCAGAUCAUAACAUUAACUGAUUUUCUUUAAUUUUCUGUGCUCAGACGGUACAGCUGGUAAGCUUUAAAAUGAGAUAUAUUGUCAUUAUUUACACCUUUUCCAACACUAUAACCUUUUUUUUUUUUUUUUUUUUGCUGCAUUGCUUACAGUUGCUUUAAGGUGCUACUAUUGUUGAAAGGUCAGGAUUUCAUCUUGAGUUUUUAGAAGAGGUAUUUCCAUCUCAUUUACUCUCAGUCUCUUAAAGACAAGAAGUCUGCAGCUGGUUAAAAUUGAAAUAUUGAGGGUAGUUAUGUUUCUGACUUUUGUUUUUGAUUUGUGUCUAAUAUCUAAGUUACUCUCAACAUUUAAAUUACAGUUGCUCAUGUGGUUGAUGUCCAUUGACUACAAUGACCAAACUGUAGUCAAUGAUCCACAUUGACUACACUUGGAUACAAAUUGGAUACAUUUGGCAUUGUAUCCAAAUGGUUGGAUACAUUACCUCUUAAAUAAUGCAUCCAACCAUUUGAAAUAAAUUAAAUAAAAUCAUCGGAGCCAAAAAACCAAACCUGAAGUAUGUAAAUAGCCUACAUGGUAAUGUAUGAUGACUGUAAAAAGAGAAACUAUCAUAGAUGAAAAACAUUACUUUAUAAAUAUGAUGUGGAGAUUACAAAAAAAAACUUAAUAUCCCUCCUUAGUUUUAUAAGUGCACAUACAAUGAGCUAUGACAGUCAUAAGCUGAAAAUAGUCCAUUUUACAUAACACUGCCCCUUUAAAAGUCUCUUUAUUGGUGAAACCGAUGCUGUAGUUACUUAGUAUCGAAUCCAGACCACAUGUUUACAGCAUCACCCACCACUACCUUUGGGCCUACAUGCAAAUCGCUAAAUUUGCAAAUCGCUAAAGAACUAACACUGCGCAUGGCCCUGAACACACCGUCUCCACAGUGAAACACAGUGGUGGCAGCAACAUGCUGAUGGAUGGAGGUUCAUACAAGACAAUCCCAGAGGACGACAUGUUAGACUCAGCAAAGGACUUGAGGUUAGAAUGGUCCAGUCAAAGGGAGCAAAGAUUGAGCUUCAUGUGAAUUCAAAUGGCAUCUCAAGACUUCAGUCUGAUUCGCAGGUUCAACCAGACAGGAGGAUGUAAUCUGAUACAACACCUCAUCGUGACGCCUCUAAGCCCGGAAAGUCUUAACGACUGCUACUCCACUCUGCUCAGAAACUUCCCAGAGCUGUUUGUGAUAAUUAUGUUGCUGUUCUUGCCAUUCAGGCAGCAUUCCCUCAUUGUUUCCACUUCAACCCACCAGACAAGACAUUUCACAGCUAAUGGCUGCCGUGCCUCUUCGUGGUCGGACCGCGGUCUCGAUCAGCGCUGAUCAAAACUCGCAUGUUUUGUGCUGUUCUGUUCCGUAAUAACACGCCAUUUGCAUAUCUGUGACAGAAAUGUAUUAAAGUCUUUAUGCCUUAUUGUUUAUAAGAAUGUGUGAGGUGAUGGGAAGUAAGACUGCCUGGCAUCGACUUAAUUGGAUUUCUUAUCUCAGCAUUGUGUGCUUGAUGAAAGAGACUAUGGGUGCGAGCACAGAAGUCACGAGUCAAGCGGGGUUUAACUUUUCAAAACUGUUUUCUUCAUACUUGUGGUCAACGGUCGUUCAGUCAGGUUGA